rnacentral:rRNA from 1 species
UUAGGAAUAUUCGUCAAUGGGGGAAACCCUGAACGAGCAACGCCGCGUGAGUGAUGAAGGUCUUUUGGAUUGCAAAACUCUGUUGUAUGGGAAGAAUGGCUAGAAUAGGAAAUGAUUUUAGUUUGACGGUACCAUGCCAGAAAGCCCCGGCUAACUACGUGCCAGCAGCCGCGGUAAUACGUAGGGGGCAAGCGUUAUCCGGAUUUAUUGGGCGUAAAGCGUGUGUAGGCGGUUUGUUAAGUUUAUGAUUAAAACCUGAGGCUCAACCUCAGGUCGUCAUAAAAACUGGCAGACUGGAGUGUAGUAGAGGCAAAUGGAAUUUCUAGUGUAGCGGUAAAAUGCGUAGAUAUUAGAAGGAACACCAGUGGCGAAGGCGAUUUGCUGGGCUAUUACUGACGCUGAGACACGAAAGCGUGGGGAGCAAAUAGG